GGUGAGUAACACGUGGGAACGUGCCUUUAGGUUCGGAAUAGCUCCUGGAAACGGGUGGUAAUGCCGAAUGUGCCCUUCGGGGGAAAGAUUUAUCGCCUUUAGAGCGGCCCGCGUCUGAUUAGCUAGUUGGUGAGGUAAUGGCUCACCAAGGCGACGAUCAGUAGCUGGUCUGAGAGGAUGACCAGCCACAUUGGGACUGAGACACGGCCCAAACUCCUACGGGAGGCAGCAGUGGGGAAUCUUGCGCAAUGGGCGAAAGCCUGACGCAGCCAUGCCGCGUGAAUGAUGAAGGUCUUAGGAUUGUAAAAUUCUUUCACCGGGGACGAUAAUGACGGUACCCGGAGAAGAAGCCCCGGCUAACUUCGUGCCAGCAGCCGCGGUAAUACGAAGGGGGCUAGCGUUGCUCGGAAUUACUGGGCGUAAAGGGCGCGUAGGCGGACAUUUAAGUCAGGGGUGAAAUCCCAGAGCUCAACUCUGGAACUGCCUUUGAUACUGGGUGUCUUGAGUGUGAGAGAGGUAUGUGGAACUCCGAGUGUAGAGGUGAAAUUCGUAGAUAUUCG
rnacentral:rRNA from 1 species